CAGUAGCCGCGGGAAUACGUAGGGUGCAAGCGUUAAUCGGAAUUACUGGGCGUAAAGCGUGCGCAGGCGGUCUGUCAAGUCAGAUGUGAAAUCCCCGGGCUUAACCUGGGAACUGCAUUUGAAACUGGCAGGCUAGAGUCUUGUAGAGGGGGGUAGAAUUCCAGGUGUAGCGGUGAAAUGCGUAGAGAUCUGGAGGAAUACCGGUGGCGAAGGCGGCCCCCUGGACAAAGACUGACGCUCAGGUGCGAAAGCGUGGGGAGCAAACAGGAUUAGAUACCCCAGUAGUCCCUGUCUCUUAUAC
rnacentral:rRNA from 1 species